UACGUAGGGGGCAAGCGUUGUCCGGAUUUAUUGGGCGUAAAGAGCGUGUAGGCGGCCACACAGGUCUGCUGUGAAAACUCGAGGCUCAACCUCGAGCUGUCGGUGGAAACCGUGUGGCUAGAGUCCGGAAGAGGAGAGUGGAAUUCCCGGUGUAGCGGUGAAAUGCGCAGAUAUCAGGAAGAACACCUAUGGCGAAGGCAGCCCUCUGGGACGGUACUGACGCUGAGACGCGAAAGCGUGGGGAGCGAACAGG
rnacentral:rRNA from 1 species